UACGAAGGGGGCUAGCGUUGUUCGGAAUCACUGGGCGUAAAGCGUACGUAGGCGGAUUUUUAAGUCAGGGGUGAAAUCCCGGGGCUCAACCUCGGAACUGCCUUUGAUACUGGAGAUCUUGAGUCCGGAAGAGGUAAGUGGAACUGCGAGUGUAGAGGUGAAAUUCGUAGAUAUUCGCAAGAACACCAGUGGCGAAGGCGGCUUACUGGUCCGGAACUGACGCUGAGGUGCGAAAGCGUGGGGAGCAAACAGG
rnacentral:rRNA from 1 species